UCCACCCGAUGACGAUAUUGAAGAUGGCCAGAUCCAUAGGUUUCACUUAUUCUCCUAGUACACUAACUGUAUAGUGUAUGUUUGUGUUGGAACAGUAUAGUGGUAGGAUCCAUGAUUUACUGCCACCACAAUGGACUUUCGGAAUGAAACUUAAGUGAAAUGGAAUGCAAAGAAUGAUUCUGAAGCUGCUCUACUACAUGACCUUGUAUCUUCCAGAUGAAUAAGGAGCAAACAUCAGUCUGAUGAUAAAUACUAAAGGACUACAGUAAUUUCGAAUGAUCAGUAAAAUUGAUAUUUCUGAUUAUCAAGUAAUUCUUUAAAACAUCUCGAGUAUAAAUUUUAAAUAAAAAUUUCCUCUUUUCUUUGAAUCAUGCAUUUCUUAACUUGCACGAAGAGUUACUUCAAGGCACGUUUACAGUGUAAAUCAAAAGUUAAAUUGUUAUCGACCAUAUUUUGUACAAUUUGUAGCAUGAUGUGUAUUGUGUAUAAUUAUGUGCGUUAAAUAAAAAUUGUUUGAUUAAUUUUGUUAAGAUUGUUUGUACUGCAGGGUCAAAUUUUUCUGUAUAAUAAAUGGAGAUUUUAA